ACAUCUUUCCCUUUUCCUUGGUGGGAAGAUAAUGAAACUAAAUUGCUUUAAAAAAAAAAUCAUCCCCUACUAUUCAAUGUAGGAGCAAUAUAGACUCGCAAGCCACCUACACAAGUUGAAACAAAAUAGCCACAGUAAAUAUCUUUAGUGAAAUUGUAGAUAGCUGUACAAUGGAAGAAAGUAUCUUUUUCCCUUGAGAUAGUAGAUUUCCACCAGUAUUUCCCUGUAAUCAGUUCUGAAACAUCUAAACAUCUCCUACCUUUUUGUAUUAACCCAAAGAAUUUCAAGACAGGCAUUUGCAUAAUUUGCUACGAUUACCCUAACCUGCAGAAGAGAUAAACAUUUUGGGUCAACACGGACUUGCUUUUUUUUUUUUUUUUUCUUUUUAAGUAGUGUUAAGGUUUACAUUUAGAGGAGGCUUUUUGUUGGUCUUAUACAGAAAGAUAUUAAAAACAGCAGGAAUAAAGGUUUGGAAAAGGUUAAGGAGUUAAAAAGUGCUCUACGGAAGUGCCUUUGAUACAGAUUUGCUUUAUUAGAAGGAUACAGUAACAUCUUUUUUAAGUGUACAUUUUCUCUCCGUCAAAUUAAACAGAUGUGCAGUUUUUAUUGAAAAAUAUGGACCUAGUGUUUCAUGUUGGAACAAAGAAUUUUGCAUGUCUUACAUAUUCCAGUCUCCUUGAACUCAGGCUGGCCUUGAACUCACAGUGAUCUUCCUGCUUCAGCCUCCCGAGUGCUGACAUUACAGGUUGUUCAAACAAAGUGAGAAAUCCAGCGAGACACCGAGCGUGGCUGUCAUCGAGGACAACACGACAACCUGUGUCCGGUGCCCUCCCGGAGUCUCAGUGUGGAAAUCCCACGGAAGCUACUGUCAAAUAAGGCACUCACAGCUUCUGCAGGAGGAAGAAGCCCGUAAUUUUACUGGUGACGCUUACUUAUAAC